UACGGGAGGCAGCAGUGAGGAAUAUUGGUCAAUGGGCGCGAGCCUGAACCAGCCAAGCUAGCGUGCANGAUGACGGCCCUAUGGGUUGUAAACUGCAUUUUAUGCGGGGAUAAAGUGCGGCACGCGUGCCGUUUUGUANGNACCGCAUGAAUAAGGACCGGCUAAUUCCGUGNCAGCAGCCGCGGUA
rnacentral:rRNA from 1 species